GAGUAACCUGCCCUAGAGUGGGGGACAACAGUUGGAAACGACUGCUAAUACCGCAUAAGCCCACGGUACCGCAUGGUACUGAGGGAAAAGGAUUUAUUCGCUUUAGGAUGGACUCGCGUCCAAUUAGCUAGUUGGUGAGGUAACGGCCCACCAAGGCGACGAUUGGUAGCCGGACUGAGAGGUUGAACGGCCACAUUGGGACUGAGACACGGCCCAGACUCCUACGGGAGGCAGCAGUGGGGGAUAUUGCACAAUGGGGGAAACCCUGAUGCAGCGACGCCGCGUGGAGGAAGAAGGUUUUCGGAUUGUAAACUCCUGUCGUUAGGGACGAUAAUGACGGUACCUAACAAGAAAGCACCGGCUAACUACGUGCCAGCAGCCGCGGUAAAACGUAGGGUGCAAGCGUUGUCCGGAAUUACUGGGUGUAAAGGGAGCGCAGGCGGGAAGACAAGUUGGAAGUGAAAACCAUGGGCUCAACCCAUGAAUUGCUUUCAAAACUGUUUUUCUUGAGUAGUGCAGAGGUAGAUGGAAUUCCCGGUGUAGCGGUGGAAUGCGUAGAUAUCGGGAGGAACACCAGUGGCGAAGGCGGUCUACUGGGCACCAACUGACGCUGAGGCUCGAAAGCAUGGGUAGCAAACAGGAUUAGAUACCCUGGUAGUCCAUGCCGUAAACGAUGAUUACUAGGUGUUGGGGGAUUGACCCCCUCAGUGCCGCAGUUAACACAAUAAGUAAUCCACCUGGGGAGUACGACCGCAAGGUUGAAACUCAAAGGAAUUGACGGGGGCCCGCACAAGCAGUGGAGUAUGUGGGUUUAAUUCG
rnacentral:rRNA from 1 species